AUUGAACGCUAGCGGGAUGCUUUACACAUGCAAGUCGAACGAGUGGAGGACGGGUGAGUAAUAUAUCGGAACGUGCACCGUAGCGGGGGAUAACUACUCGAAAGAAUGGCUAAUGCCGAAUACUAUUGGAGCGGCCGAGAUGGGAUUAGCGAGUUGGUGGGGUAAAGGUUCACCAAGGCAACGAUCCGUAGCUGGUUUGCGAGGAAGACCAGCCACACUGGGACUGAGACACGGCCAAGACUCCUACGGGAGGCAGCAGUGGGGAAUUUUGGACAAUGGGGGAAACCCUGAUCCAGCCAUCCCGCGUGUAUGAGAAGGCCUUCGGGUUGUAAAGUACUUUUGGCAGAGAAGCGGUAUCUGCAGAAUAAGCACCGGCUAACUACGGGCCAGCAGCCGCGGUAAUAC
rnacentral:rRNA from 1 species